CGUGGGGGGCGGCCUACCAUGCAAGUCGAACGGACCCUUCGGGGUUAGUGGCGGACGGGUGAGUAACACGUGGGAACGUGCCUUUAGGUUCGGAAUAGCUCCUGGAAACGGGUGGUAAUGCCGAAUGUGCCCUUCGGGGGAAAGAUUUAUCGCCUUUAGAGCGGCCCGCGUCUGAUUAGCUAGUUGGUGAGGUAAUGGCUCACCAAGGCGACGAUCAGUAGCUGGUCUGAGAGGAUGACCAGCCACACUGGGACUGAGACACGGCCCUGACUCCUACGGGAGGCAGCAGUGGGGAAUCUUGCGCAAUGGGCGAAAGCCUGACGCAGCCAUGCCGCGUGAAUGAUGAAGGUCUUAGGAUUGUAAAAUUCUUUCACCGGGGACGAUAAUGACGGUACCCGGAGAAGAAGCCCCGGCUAACUUCGUGCCAGCAGCCGCGGUAAUACGAAGGGGGCUAGCGUUGCUCGGAAUUACUGGGCGUAAAGGGCGCGUAGGCGGAUCGUUAAGUCAGGGGUGAAAUCCCAGAGCUCAACUCUGGAACUGCCUUUGAUACUGGCGAUCUUGAGUAUGAGAGAGGUAUGUGGAACUCCGAGUGUAGAGGUGAAAUUCGUAGAUAUUCGGAAGAACACCAGUGGCGAAGGCGACAUACUGGCUCAUUACUGACGCUGAGGCGCGAAAGCGUGGGGAGCAAACAGGAUUAGAUACCCUGGUAGUCCACGCCGUAAACGAUGAUUGCUAGUUGUCGGGCUGCAUGCAGUUCGGUGACGCAGCUAACGCAUUAAGCAAUCCGCCUGGGGAGUACGGUCGCAAGAUUAAAACUCAA
rnacentral:rRNA from 1 species